rnacentral:rRNA from 1 species
UACGUAGGGGGCAAGCGUUGUCCGGAAUCAUUGGGCGUAAAGCGCGUGUAGGCGGUUCGGUAAGUCUGCUGUGAAAGUCCAGGGCUCAACCCUGGGAUGCCGGUGGAUACUGUCGGGCUAGAGUGCGGAAGAGGCGAGUGGAAUUCCUGGUGUAGCGGUGGAAUGCGCAGAUAUCAGGAGGAACACCAACGGCGAAGGCAGCUCGCUGGGACGGUACUGACGCUGAGGCGCGAAAGCGUGGGGAGCGAACAGG